UAAGUGUUCUCUAGAGAGGCGACACGAAUUUUAAACAAGAACUUAAACCGCCUAUUAAAUGACUAAAGUGUGUUAAGUUGAAUUAAAUGUAAGACAGAUCUUGCCAACACUAUUGAAUAUGCCUAGUGAUUCGAAUUUAUAUGACCAUUUUUACAUAAACGCAUGUCUAUUGCAGAAUUCGAUCCGGCAUAACCUGUCGCUGCACAACCGGUUCAUGCGGGUGCAGAACGAGGGCACGGGCAAAUCGUCCUGGUGGAUGAUCAACCCAGAUGCCAAGCCGGGCAAGUCUGUCCGGAGACGGGCGGCGUCCAUGGAGACGUCGAAGUUUGAGAAGAGAAGAGGGAGGGUGAAGAAGAAGGCGGAGGCAUUAAGAAAUGGCGCCACAGCUGACGCCACUCCCAGCCCCAGCAGUUCCAUCUCUGAAAGUCUCGACAUAUUCCCAGAAUCACCAAUGCACAGCAGCAAUUUCCAGCUGUCGCCAGCGAACGCAGACACGUUCCGGCAGCGCGCGUCGUCCAACGCGUCGUCCGUCGGACGCCUGUCGCCGAUCCCGUCGCUCAUCGCUCAGGAGCCGGACUGGGUGGACUACGCGGCGAAUACCGACUACGGGACGGACUAUACGAACACGGAUUUCCAAGAAUAUGCUCCGGCGGCCGAGCUGGCGGGGUCGCUGGCUGACUCGAUGAAGUUGCAGGGAGCCGAUCCAUUCCUAAACACGUACGUGCCAACAACGUCAUCAUCAUCGACCGGCUACCGCUACUCGUACUCGUGCCCGCAGCACCUGCACGGCGGCUGCGCGUGCGCGUCGAUGUUCAGCCAUCCCGCGCACCCGGCGCAUCCCACGCAUCCGCAUGCGCUCGACCACUUCGUCAGGCCGCCGCCGCCCGCUGAUCCUGCUGAUAUUAUGCAUACAGAAAACAGCCAAACGCAGAUGGUAACGACGUCGGACGCGGCGUUGAUGAACGGUGGUAUGAUGGUGCAGACGGCCAUGCCCACCACCGUUAUGGGGCAGAUCAUGGGCGCGCUUAACACGGGGCUCGUUGAGGACCUCAACCUCAACAUUGAGUCACUGGAGCACAGCUUUGACUGUGAUGUUAAUGAGGUGAUAAAGCACGAGCUCAGCAUGGACGGCUCGUUGGACUUCAACUUCCCGCAGCAGCAGCAGGCCAUGGCGGCCGAGGCCGACAGCCAGUUCGCGGCGCCCGCGCCGCCCGUGCCCACCACGCUGUCCGGCGGCGGCGCGCCCCGCACGCCCUACUCCGCGACCCCCUCCUGGGUCCACUGAAAACCUCAAAAACGACUACACGGACAGUUACCUACUUAUUGACUACCAGAGGUUGUUAUCUGAGUUAAUUUCCUAUUAAGUUCGAUUUUUGUUACUUCGGCAUUAAAGUCAAGAUUUUUUGUUCUAUUGUCAUGUUAACUAAUGUUAGAAUUUUAUUGUUUAGUGUAAUAAGUGGACCGUUACCGCUCGUUGUUGAAGUGUCAAUUGUAUUAGUGGUAGUAGGCUUUAGUGUUAAGCUAGGUGGAAGCUUGUGAUAUAGAUAGGGUAUUGUAAUCCGGGUAGUCGCUUGGACCAGGAGGGGACGCAGGUUCGAUCCUGUAUCGUCGACACCGACACCAAACAGAGGUUGCAACGCUUUUAGGAUUGGAAAACUUCUGUAGCGGUAAAUUAAAGUGACGAGCUUUAUAUCAGCAUUUCCAAAUUCACUGUUCAUCACAAAUGAACCGCGCAACAGGAAACCUACUCUAGAGACUGAAACCAGUGUUCUUAAACAAAAUCUGUUAGUAACAAAAACAAUCUGGUGCGACAUAAUGUUAAAUUUCGAGUGAUAUUUUGGACGAAGUUAGUUAAGAUUUAUCGACCUCGCGUAGCGUGUAGUGGACAAUCAGGCCAAUUCAAACGUGCACUGACAUCUAACCGAUAGUAGAAUGAUAUGAGUUAGCUGUAAUUCGCGCUGGCGUCUCACUCGCACUAAUACUUGUGUGGACAAGUCUGAGCGAUAUGAACGCGCGAAUGACGACUAACUAAUAUGAUUCCAUUAUAAUUCUAAUAUCGGUUUGAUCUCAGUGCACGUUCGAAUUGGCCUGUACUGUAUAUGCCGAGUUGAUUUCUCAUCGUUUUAGUAACGUCACCGCUCUGUCCCCUCCGAACACCUAAAUCUAUUAAUAGGUAUAUUCAAGUACCUCUGAAGAACGGGUAAGUGUGUCUGAAUUUAUUUCGGAUGUAGAAAAUGUCUCGUUUUGCGAUAAUGCCGUUUACAUAGUACUUAUGUCGCGAUGUCUGUCCGUAACCAUAGCUGUAACUCAGUCUUAUAAAUAGGAUUAUUGGUUUGGCCUGUAAAUUUUGGUUGCAUGUAAAAUAAAAUAUUGCCUCAAAAUUAAGAUGCUGAUACUUUUGCAUCUGUGAUGAUUUGUUUUGUGGGCCAAAAUUUGUAGAUGUAGGUAUAGAACCAAUAUUAAAGAUAUAUAUUACUGAUUGAUUCCAAAGUGAAACUGCAUGAUUCUUUGUAAUAAAUUCUCCUUUACAAUAUUGUAACGUAGGUACAACUAGUAAAUUCUAGUAUAAAGUGUACCAAUGUUUGUGUAUACAUAAAUGUUUUCUGCAAGAACUGGCACCAAUUAGAUAGUAAUUAUUUGUAAUACGCCAUAUUAUUUGUGUUAUUUAUUAUUUACUAAGAACCUGUACCUCUGAGCCAUAACGUACCUACCAAAAAUAUAUACAAAUAUUGCUCAACCUACUUGACGCCAAAUAUAGAUCGAAAUCUAUUAUUACGAUUAUAAUCCAUUGUUUUUUCAGUGAAUUUCCGCAGGCAUUAUGAUUAAAUCACAUAAGUACUUCUUUUGCAUUUUUAUAUAGGACUUGCACUAAUUUUAUUGGUACGAUGGUAAGAGAUAAUUAUUGCUCCGAUAAUUGUGCCUAUUGACAUGAAAUGUUGAAGAUUUAACAAAGUUUAGUAGCAACGCGUUUAAGAAAUAAAACAAACCAUAAAAAAAGUGCUCGCUGAAAAGUUGACGCACAAACCAAACCCGUUUUAGUCAGAUCUCUAGUCCCAGAUAUUAAUUUCGUCAUCUAAGUACAGGAUUUACUCAUUAUUUUAGCUAUAUCGAGUGUUAGCAUAUAAUCGCUAUGAAAACAAAAAAGUUCAUUCUGCGAAUUACCUCAAUGGACUAUUUGUGAUAGAUGUAGCCAAUAAGUGUUCAAUUUAAUAUGUGUAUCAUGUAAGGUCAAUUCUUGUACUUUUGGCGUCCAUUUUUAUAUAUAUUUUAAAAAACAUUCGUUUCGCUUCGGCCAUUGAUCAAUUCGGUUACGCAAGUUAUUUUAUUUUUACAUUAUAAUUAUAUUCACUGCUUCUAUACUUAUCUACGUAUAUUUGCAGCUGAAAUUGGUGCUAUAGAUACCUUGUUCGUUUGUGACUAAAUAAAAUUUCGUUAUUUUCGGGUUACGUUUAGAAAUAUAAUGUACAAAAUGAGCUCGCAUUUGAACCACCAGGAGGUGAACAAUUUUAUAUUAUUUCUAUCUUGUAGUUACGGAUUAGUUAUAUUAAUUGUGGCUAAAAGUCAAUCAGUUACUAUGAGUGGUUUGCGGAUGUUCGACAUCGAUUUUAACGUAGGUGUUGGGAAUUAGUAAUCUGCCAAAUAUAAAAUACGUAAUCUUGAGCCAUUUAGAAAGAUCCUAAUGUGUAUAGAUGACGUACCUAAAUUUUAGGCAUAAUUCGCGAUUACACUGCUGCCGAGCGAAUACCAGUUUUGAUUACGG